UCACAAUACCAUGUUAACUCUCUCUCUAAACCUCUUCUUCUACCUCGGUUCAAACAAUUAUCUCUCUUUUUCAAUGUUCAUCUCUUCUUCCUCACCAUAACCAUUUCUUAGAAAAUGAAUAAUAAACAUCAUUUUUUUUACUCGGUUCUACACCAACAUCAACAUCAUGCUCUCUCAGUUUCACUCGGAUUCACACUCACCCAAUUUUAUUUUCAAGUAAAAUAAAUGAAGAACAUCAAUAGCAACAAAUUAAAUCAAGAUUCAAUAAUCAAAUUCUAAAAGGGGAUGAGAGAUACUGAUAGAUCUGUGGUGAUGGUUUGCAACGCUCGUGUGGAGGUCGUGGCAUUCGACAAGGUAACAAUCGAUUUUGUUUCACGAUAACUUUGGUUAUAUUGUCGGUUCUCCGAGUUUCACAGAUCCACCUUUGCUUCUUUUUUUGAAUUUCUGCUUAUGUUUUUUUUUUGGUUUAGCUUUGACAUGUGAGGUGUUGUUGUUGUGUUGUUGGUGGUAAAACAGCGUUGGAUGUAGAAAGUGGUUCUGUGUGGUGGUUGAGAAAUGUUUGAAGAGGUGCGACGAUUUGUUGAUUCUCUGUUUCUUCCCACUUAUAUUUUUUUCCCUCCAGAUUUCUUUGCUUCUUAAGUAUUUUGAGCCAUUGAUAUCAUCAUAGUUGUUGUAUUGUUGUUAUUGUAACAUGUUCAUUGAUGAAAGUUCAUGAAUAUUGUUGUGAAUGGUUUUUGUUAUGAGAUGUAUAAGUGGUGUAUCUUAGGAAUGGUGAAUAAUGUAGAGUGGUUUUGUGCUGCUAUUAAAGAGGCACUUGAUUAACUCGAUGAAAUUGAUGGUUCACUUACUGAUAAGCUUUGUUUGGUUUUAAUAUUUGUUGAAGAUGCUAAUGUUAAUGAGAAAAGUAAUUUUUCAAA
rnacentral:lncRNA from 1 species